rnacentral:rRNA from 1 species
UACCUGCAGUCGAGCGGAUGACGGGAGCUUGCUCCCUGAUUUAGCGGCGGACGGGUGAGUAAUGCCUAGGAAUCUGCCUGGUAGUGGGGGAUAACGUUCCGAAAGGAACGCUAAUACCGCAUACGUCCUACGGGAGAAAGCAGGGGACCUUCGGGCCUUGCGCUAUCAGAUGAGCCUAGGUCGGAUUAGCUAGUUGGUGAGGUAAUGGCUCACCAAGGCGACGAUCCGUAACUGGUCUGAGAGGAUGAUCAGUCACACUGGAACUGAGACACGGUCCAGACUCCUACGGGAGGCAGCAGUGGGGAAUAUUGGACAAUGGGCGAAAGCCUGAUCCAGCCAUGCCGCGUGUGUGAAGAAGGUCUUCGGAUUGUAAAGCACUUUAAGUUGGGAGGAAGGGCAUUAACCUAAUACGUUAGUGUUUUGACGUUACCGACAGAAUAAGCACCGGCUAACUUCGUGCCAGCAGCCGCGGUAAUACGAAGGGUGCAAGCGUUAAUCGGAAUUACUGGGCGUAAAGCGCGCGUAGGUGGUUCGUUAAGUUGGAUGUGAAAGCCCCGGGCUCAACCUGGGAACUGCAUCCAAAACUGGCGAGCUAGAGUACGGUAGAGGGUGGUGGAAUUUCCUGUGUAGCGGUGAAAUGCGUAGAUAUAGGAAGGAACACCAGUGGCGAAGGCGACCACCUGGACUGAUACUGACACUGAGGUGCGAAAGCGUGGGGAGCAAACAGGAUUAGAUACCCUGGUAGUCCACGCCGUAAACGAUGUCAACUAGCCGUUGGGUUCCUUGAGAACUUAGUGGCGCAGCUAACGCAUUAAGUUGACCGCCUGGGGAGUACGGCCGCAAGGUUAAAACUCAAAUGAAUUGACGGGGGCCCGCACAAGCGGUGGA